rnacentral:rRNA from 1 species
UACAGAGGUCUCAAGCGUUGUUCGGAUUCAUUGGCGUAAAGGGUGCGUAGGUGGCGCCGUAAGUCAGGUGUGAAUUUCGGAGCUUAACUCCGAAACUGCAUUGAUACUGCGGUGCUUGAGGACUGGAGAGGAGACUGGAAUUACGGUGUAGCAGUGAAAUGCGUAGAGAUCGUAAGGAGACCAGUGGCGAAGGCGGGCUC